rnacentral:rRNA from 1 species
UACGUAGGGUGCAAGCGUUAAUCGGAAUUACUGGGCGUAAAGCGUGCGCAGGCGGUUUUGUAAGUCUGUCGUGAAAUCCCCGGGCUCAACCUGGGAAUGGCGAUGGAGACUGCAAGGCUGGAGUCUGGCAGAGGGGGGGGUAGAAUUCCACGUGUAGCAGUGAAAUGCGUAGAGAUGUGGAGGAACACCGAUGGCGAAGGCAGCCCCCUGGGUCAAGACUGACGCUCAUGCACGAAAGCGUGGGGAGCAAACAGG